CCUACGGGUGGCAGCAGUGAGGAAUAUUGGUCAAUGGGCGUAAGCCUGAACCAGCCAAGUCGCGUGAGGGAUGACGGUUCUAUGGAUCGUAAACUUCUUUUAUACGGGAAUAAAGCGCGGUACGUGUCCCGCUUUGCAUGUACCUUAUGAAUAAGGACCGGCUAAUUCCGUGCCAGCAGCCGCGGUAAUACGGAGGGUCCGAGCGUUAUCCGGAUUUAUUGGGUUUAAAGGGUGCGUAGGCGGCCUUUUAAGCGUGCGGUGAAAGUCUGUGGCUCAACCAUGGAAUUGCCGUGGAAACUGGGAGGCUUGAGUAUGUUUAAGGCAGGCGGAAUGCGUGGUGUAGCGGUGAAAUGCUUAGAUAUCACGCAGAACCCCGAUUGCGAAGGCAGCCUGC
rnacentral:rRNA from 1 species